UUCUUGGGUGGCGAGUGGCGAACGGGUGAGUAAUAUAUCGGAACGUACCGAGUAAUGGGGGAUAACUAAUCGAAAGAUUAGCUAAUACCGCAUAUUCUCUGAGGAGGAAAGCAGGGGACCUUCGGGCCUUGCGUUAUUCGAGCGGCCGAUAUCUGAUUAGCUAGUUGGUGGGGUAAAGGCCUACCAAGGCGACGAUCAGUAGCGGGUCUGAGAGGAUGAUCCGCCACACUGGGACUGAGACACGGCCCAGACUCCUACGGGAGGCAGCAGUGGGGAAUUUUGGACAAUGGGCGCAAGCCUGAUCCAGCCAUGCCGCGUGUCUGAAGAAGGCCUUCGGGUUGUAAAGGACUUUUGUCAGGGAAGAAAAGGCUGUUGCUAAUACCGACAGCUGAUGACGGUACCUGAAGAAUAAGCACCGGCUAACUACGUGCCAGCAGCCGCGGUAAUACGUAGGGUGCGA
rnacentral:rRNA from 1 species